ensembl:lncRNA
GAGAGAGAGAGAGAGAGAGAGAGAGAGAGAAGGAGAGAGUGAGAGAGCAGGGGAGAGAGAGAGAGAGAGUGAAAGAAAGAAAGAGGUAAAACAAAAUAAAAGAAAUAGUGAUAUAGUUUCUGGUGGCACUAAGGAACACUGGACAUACAGAGUUAAUGGUAUCAACUUGUUGAUAGUUUAAAUAUAUGACAUGAGGUGUUGAUUAGACACCUGGAGAUGGAAAACUUUAAAACUUGAGUGAACUAUGGAAGACGAGCCCAUAUUUUUAGUUAAUCCCAGAAGUUUGUAUUUCUGAGUGACAUAAAGCAUUGCUGUGUGGGUGAUUCCACUAUUGGUGUACCAUUUAACCCUUAUAAUUUCUGCAAAAUGAAAAAUCAUUAUUCCAACACUAAUUCUCAAAAAAAAAAACAUGCAUUUAGCCAUAAAAUUCUUUAUGGCUUUAAAUGUGUUAACCAAGGGAAAUUGUAAUGCUACAAAAGACACUCUUGACAAUUCUGUGCCACUUUGUGGCAACAGUUUGGGAAAGACUCACAUAUGGGUGUGACAGUCAUGUGUUCACAUAUUUUUGGCCAUAUAGUGUAGCAUAAUCUAAUCAAAAAAGAUAUUUGAAUUUUUGCAGUCCUGCAUUUGGGGCAUUAACUAACUACACUUCUAGACCAAUAGCCAUUCUGUGUGACAGUGAAGUGAUGGUGACCUCCAAACUACCUAUGUACAUGUGAAGGGAAUUAUUUAUAGCAUACUGUAUUCUGUAGUAGAGUGCACAGUGGCUUAGUGGUUAGCAGGUCUGCCUCACACCUCCAAGGUUGUGGGUUCGAUUCCCACAGCAGUAUACUGCCCUGUGUGUGUGGAAUGUGCUGGUUCUCCCUGUGCUGCAGGGGUUCCUCUGGGUACUCUGGUUUCCUCCCCCAGUCCAAAGACAUGCAUUGUUGGAUGAUUGGCAUGUCAAAAUUGUCCAUAGUAUACGAAUGUGUGUGAGUGUGCCCUGUGAUGGAUUUGUACCCUGCCUUGUGCCUGAUGCUCCCUGUGAUAUGCUCCAGGUUCAACCCUGUCGGAUAAACAGUACAGAAAAUGGACGGAUGGAUGGAACAAGCACAUAUGGGCGUGAUGUCAGGUGUCCACAAACUUUUAGCCAUACAGAGUAGUAUUCACUGAAGAUUAGUCACAGGACGCAACGAUAAGGCGAGCGGAACCAUUUAUCCGCCAGCUUAAGUUUCCGCUGGGGCGCGUUUGUGCUGCACAGCGGAGUAUGACAGUUUGUAAACACAUUCAGAAUAACCUCCACUCGUCUGGGAAGGCUUUCCACUAGAUGUUGGAGCGUGACUGUGGGGAAUUGUGUUCAAGGGCAUGAGUGAGAUCAGGCCCUGAUGUCGAAUGAGGAGGUCUGGGAUGCAGUUCAUCCCAAAAGGUGUUCAGUGAGGUUGAGGUCAGGGUUCACUGGAGUUCUUCCACUCCAAACUCACUUUGUGUACAAAAAGAGUAUUGUCAUGCUGGAACAGGUUUGGGU